rnacentral:misc_RNA from 1 species
AACGUAGGACGCAAGCGUUAUCCGGAAUUACUGGGCGUAAAGCGCGCGCAGGCGGGUCAACAAGUCAUGCGUGAAAGCUCCCGGCUAAACUGGGAGAGGUCGGAUGAAACUGUUGGUCUUGAGUGUGGCAGAGGCGUGUGGAAUUCCGCGUGUAGUGGUGAAAUGCGUAGAGAUGCGGAGGAACACCAGAGGCGAAGGCGGCACGCUGGGCCACAACUGACGCUGAGGCGCGAAAGCAUGGGUAGCGAACGGG